GGAGUAAAAAUAAGCUUUUUAUUUGGGAGAUGUAGUGGAGUAAAAGUCAACAUUUUAUUUAGGAAAUGUAGUGGAGUAAAAGUAAAAGUUUCCGGUGAUAUAAAUAACAAAGUUAAGUACAGAUACGUGAAAAUUCUACUUAUGUACAGUAACAAAGCAUUAGUACUUUGUUGCAUUACAACACU